CAAACCUUUCCACAUUUAUCUCUGAUAUGUUAUACAAGGCCGGGUUAGAUGAUUUCAACGGUUCCGACUGCGUAGUUCACGGGAGGUUUACGGCUCUUUCUUAAAGAUGCCCCUAAAGAAACCCGUAACGGACAAGUGAUAAUCACGCAUGCCGCAGCCAUAGCCGCGGCGUCUCGUCUGACACGCCAACGGCCCCGGCGCGUCUCGGGACAAGUCAGGUUGGUUUCGAUCGCUCGGGGCUAUUCGCGCGGCGCGCGACACGUUCGUACGCCCGCCGGAGCAUGCGUUUCCUUGAAAGCUGUUCCGUUUCUUCUCUUUCCUUCCUUUUCUAGAAGCCGAAACGUAUCCGCAUGCAUAUUUUUCCACUUGAAUGCGUACUGCAGCAUGCAGCACGUUGUUUUCUUGUGCACACAAAGGUCCAC
rnacentral:lncRNA from 1 species